CCCCUGGCAGAACCUCCUCCGCCUGGUGACAGCGUUCAUCCCCGUGGGUCUCAUCAUCUCAGCCCUCACUCCCAGCGUCAUCACCAUUGAAAACACGGGAUUUGAUAAUGACAAGUACGCUCCACCUCUGUUGAGACGGUCUACCCCGCCUGGACUGGCUACCAUCAGCGAAACUUGCCGGCGCCGUCUUCUGUGUGAGCUACACUCAGAACGAAACUAUGAACUAGGCCAUUCACCCAGGAGACGAGGGAAGCCCUGCUAUAAGCUUCCCUGUGAGGAUCCCGAGGGUUUAUCCAGGUCCCUGCAGUGG
rnacentral:lncRNA from 1 species